rnacentral:rRNA from 1 species
GGAGUCACGCCAGAAAUCUUACCCGGAGAGACAGCAGAAUGAAGGUCAAGCUGAAGACUUUACCAGACAAGCUGAGAGGUGGUGCAUGGCCGUCGCCAGCUCGUGCCGUGAGAUGUCCUGUUAAGUCAGGUAACGAGCGAGAUCCCUGCCUCUAGUUGCCACCAUUACUCUCAGGAGUAGUGGGGCGAAUUAGCGGGACCGCCGCAGUUAAUGCGGAGGAAGGAAGGGGCCACGGCAGGUCAGUAUGCCCCGAAACUCUGGGGCCACACGCGGGCUGCAAUGGUAGCGACAAUUGGUUUCGAAUCCGAAAGGAUGAGGUAAUCCACAAACGCUACCACAGUUAUGACUGAGGGCUGCAACUCGCCCUCACGAAUAUGGAAUCCCUAGUAACUGCGUGUCAUUAUCGCGCGGUGAAUACGUCCCUGCUCCUUGCACACACCGCCCGUCGUUUCAUUGAAGUGAGCUUUUAGCGAGGUGACGUCUGAUUGGCGUUAUCGAACUUGAGGUUCGUGACAAGGGAAAAGUCGUAACAAGGUGACCGUAGGGGAGCCUGCGGUCGGAUCA